UACGGGGGGGGCAAGCGUUGUUCGGAAUUACUGGGCGUAAAGGGCUCGUAGGCGGCCAACUAAGUCGGACGUGAAAUCCCUCGGCUUAACCGGGGAACUGCGUCCGAUACUGGAUGGCUUGAGUUUGGGAGAGGGAUGCGGAAUUCCAGGUGUAGCGGUGAAAUGCGUAGAUAUCUGGAGGAACACCGGUGGCGAAGGCGGCCCACUGGCUCGAUACUGACGCUGAGGUGCGAAAGCGUGGGGAGCAAACAGG
rnacentral:rRNA from 1 species